UUUUUUUUUUUUUUUUUGUGAAGCCAUUUGUCUGAAAAGUACCAACAAGUGUGCCGAGGGGAGGAAAAAAACCACACACAAACACAACAAGCGGCAUCCUUGGCCCUAAUCAGUUAGGGGAGGGCAGGAGGCCCCACCAGGCACCAGGCCCUCUAGAAGGAAGGUCAGGACCAGGGAGGAUUAGGCCCAGUCUUGGGUUUAUUGCUGUACUUGAACAAAGCACCGGGGGCUGCCUAAACUGAGGCAAGAGAGAGGUAAUUAAUAGAGGAGCUGAAGAAGCAAAGAAAGGCUGGUGUGGCUGCUGCCUGGGUGGGUGGAGAAGCAGAAGUGCUUCUCCAUGAGAAUAACAAGCUGGUGCAAACGUUAUGCAGAAUGACUUUAUUUCACCAAAACAAAACCAAAAAGUUCACAUUCAGCUUCUCACGCUGAGCUGAUAAGCCACAUGCAAACUUUGGAUGGAACCUUGAACCAGUGGGAGGUGUCAGCCCGCAGUUUACACAGGGCAAUGGGAAGCUUUUCCGAGUACUUCUCCCAUUCCUACCUUUGUGAUUCUACCUGCAUCAGCUACUCCCUAGAGUGGCCUUUCUGACCUCCCAACCUGAGCCCGAGGCGAGAUCACUCAGAAUGCACCGCAUUCAUCAAUGCCAUUUCUGGUAAAUUGGACCUCAGGUUUUGGAGUGUCCUAAGAGGGAGGCAGCCUACACAGUGCGCAUACCGAUGUCACAGCAAAUGUGAUGGGCGGCACACAUUCUGUAGCCUUUCCUAGAUAAUAUUAUGGACUUCCCAACCAGAUGCACCCGAGUUUCCAAGACAUUCUGGAUUUCUAGAGCUCUGGGCCCUGCAUCUUAACAGGGCACGCCCCGCGACCUGCAGUCACGGGUAUUGCGUGUGCAGCUGUGCACCAAACGUGUCCCACGGCUUGCCCGCGAGCUGCCGGGGUGGGAGGAAAUGGCCUGGGUGUGAGGCCCGCGCCGGGUGCUGCCCAUUGGUUCUCUGUCCACCGUUUCUAGACCGGCAGCCGUCCUUCGCGCAGCCCUCAUCUCAGCCAGGGCCAGCCCGCCAACCCGAGGCAGGGGGAGUUGGGCGACAGCGCAUCCCUUCAGGGCCCGUCCAGGUAGGGCGCCGGGAAGGGAGCCUGUCUGGGGAAGGGGCAGGAGAGGAUGUUAAAGUUACCCCUCUUUAAGGGAAGUGGAUUGGAGAAGACUGUACUUAGCCCCUGUGCCACAUGCGUUCAUGGAGAGCUUGCGAAGGGCAAGGCACUGGGUUAGGUCCUAGGGGAAUCCAAAAGGACAGAAGUGAUUUUUUAAAAAAGACACCCUUGGCCCUCAAGUAAUUUACAAUCUAGGUGGGAAGACAGACUUAUAAAUGACUAACUCAACACAAAUAAAAGGCAACGUGGAAUGAAUGUAAACAAAGAGCUCGAAUCCUGCAGUAAGUGGUCUGGGGAAAGGCCAAUUAAUUAUUUUAAAAAUAACCCUUACUUCUAAAAAUGUAGAAUCAAUUCGGGGAGGGGAGGAUAAGAAUUUGCCAACACGGAAUAGUUCCAGGGUUCCAGGGAAUAACAGUCAUCACUUCUGAAAGGUUGAUGUUUAGGAAAAACGGCGAAAGUUUAUUUAAACUAAGCGAAAUACCAAGAUUCAGGAACUUUGGAUUCAUUUCUCAGCUCCUGACAUAAGUGGGGUGGUAGAGAUGCAAUUUUCCAUCCAAACACAAUACCACCACCUCCCCUCUCCCCACCUUUGGAGCCAGUAAAACUCCCAUCACACUUCAUAAAAAGAAGGGUUUUAGAAAAUAAAACUAAAUGGGAGAUUAGAAACUUCUAAAAAGGUUUCAGACUUCAAAAUGGGAAUAAUAGUUCCCGUCAUGGCUCAGUGGUUAACAAACCCGACUAGCAUCCAUGAGAAUGCGGGUUCGAUCCCUGGCCUCCCUCAGUGGGUUAAGGAUCCGGCGUUGCCAUGAGCUGUGGUCUAGGUGGCAGAUGCGGCUCAGAUCCUGCAUUGCUGCGGCUGUGGUAUAGGCCACCACAGUUCCAACUGGACCCCUAGCCUGGGAACCUCCAUAUGCCGUGGGAGCGGCCCUAAAAAGACAAAAAAAAAGGGGGGGGGUAAUAAAAAAAAAAAAAACCCACACAAAACAAAAAAGAUGAGCCUGUUUGCAGAUGGUCUCCAAGAUGUGAACGUGGAGAAAACUGUCCCGAGCUGAUUCGUUCAGAGAUUGCAGAGUGUGGGAAAAUUAGUCAUAGGUCAAAGAAAAUUAAGCAAAUUAAAAAAAUGAGGCAAUUAUUAACUCCAGGGGGAAAAAAAAUUGACAAGAAAGGAAAUGUAAUCACUGAAGCUCAUUUGCCUCAGCAAUAAACAAUACAUAUGUGGUCACAAAGUAAACACUGGGUAUGAAUUUAAUAAGAAAUUAUGAUACUGUUCCAUUGUGAGAGGGGGGGAUGGGGAAAUAUGAUGCCGAGAACUCAAAUCCUCCUCUACCAUACCAGGAGGCCAGCACACGAUGUUAUUAUGGAUUCUUUAGGAGGAAGCCACUCUCUGUAUUACUUCGAAAUAUGAUGGCAUCUACCAGAAGAAACAGGCAGGACAGGGGCGGGGGGGGGGGGGGGGGGGGGGGGUGGUUAUCCACAGGGGAUUGCUAUUUUGUAUCAAGUCUUUACCUACUAGUUGGCUUCAUAAACUUCCGGCAAAUGGUCCUUUGUGAAAAAUACACAUUCAGGUCUUAAAAGUAAAAGCGCACACAGAUUUAGAAUAAAACUCUGAGAACCCCCCAAACAGUCACAACGAGGUGACUAAUGUCCUUUGAAACUAUCUCCCUUCAACACAGUCAGCUCCAAUUACCCAAAGUGUGGAAAGAAACAGGGAGGGAGGCCAAUGCAUUUGGCGCUGCUGGCCUGUACGUUCCUAAUUAUAAGGGAAGAGUGAUCAGCGCAAUCUGCCGUCUUCAGGAGAGACGCCCUUUAGAGCUUUACUGUGAAAAUACCUUCCCAAGUAUUAAUGGAAUUCCAAACACCAAUACCGUCUGCUAUAGAAAUGAACUAGAGUCGGAGUUCCCUUCGUGGCACAGUGGAAACAGAUCCGACUAGGAACCAUGAGGUUGCGGGUUCGAUCCCAGGCCUUGGUCAGAGGGUUAAGGAUCUGGCGUGGCCGUGAGCUGUGGUGUAGGUUGCAGAUGCGGCUCGGAUCCCGAGUUGCUCUGGCUGUGGCAUCGGCCAGUGGCUACAGCUCUGAUUGGACCCCUAGCCUGGGAACCUCCAUGUGCCACGGGCGCGGCCCUAAAAAGCAAAAAAAAAGAAAAAAAGAAAUUAACUAGAGUAAGCUUUUGGGGGAGGGCUAAUUGAGAAGGCUUCCAAAGACUUUCCUCUGGGAGCCUACUGCUGGCACCAGAAACUUCCCUCUUUGGAGUUAACUUUGACUAGGAAUUGCUUUCUCCAAAGACCCUCUACUCUUAAAUGCAAAUUGUCUUGGUCCAUUACACGUCAGUGUGAAUUUAAGUUCACAGGUAACCUGUUAGGAUGUCCAACUCUAUUGCACCAUGUGUUAGGGCCUUGCACUCAAACACACAUAAAGGCCCGCAGUUAACAACACCCCCGAAAGGCUUCACAUUCAAAACCAAAGAAAACAUUCCCCUCCCAACACAAAAAAGCCCACCUUGCUGGCUAAAUAAGACUGAUAGGUAGGAUGACACCCCUGUCUUUUUUUUUUUUUUUUUUAAAUUUCAAAUCAAGCCGAGGAGGGACCCAGUAAGUCAGUAAUUUGUGAACACUGGACCCUGUGGAAGAGAAGGGACACAACAAAGGGCCAGUAAACCUGCUGGGUCAACACUGGCCUGGUCUGCAGCCUGAGGCUGGUCUACUCUGCUUCCAAGAUGCCCUUUUGACCCCC
rnacentral:lncRNA from 1 species